GUAGGUGGCAAGCGUUGUCCGGAAUUAUUGGGCGUAAAGCGCGCGCAGGCGGUCCUUUAAGUCUGAUGUGAAAGCCCACGGCUCAACCGUGGAGGGUCAUUGGAAACUGGGGGACUUGAGUACAGAAGAGGAAAGCGGAAUUCCAAGUGUAGCGGUGAAAUGCGUAGAGAUUUGGAGGAACACCAGUGGCGAAGGCGGCUUCCUGGUCUGUAACUGACGCUGAGGCGCGAAAGCGUGGGGAGCAAACAGGGAUUAGAUACCCUGGUAGUCCACGCCGUAAACGAUGAGUGCUAAGUGUUAGGGGGGGUUUCCCGCCCCCUUAGUGCUGCAGCUAACGCAUUAAGCACUCCCGCCUGGGGGAGUACGGCCCGCAAGGCUG
rnacentral:rRNA from 1 species